CCUAAUUCUCGACCCCCCACGGCCCACCCUCUUCUCCUCAAUGUCUCUUCGUGCGGAUCUCUCUCUCUCUCUCUCUCUCUCUCUCACACACACACACACACACACGCAGAUACUCUCUGGUUAUAGCUGAUCAACCUUCUCUCUCGUCUUCCAAGGAUCUGAAUUUGAAACCAAAUUGGAAGAGCAGGAGUUUGCAUUCUGGUCUGCUUGAUUCCAAUUUGCUGUAUUUGCAAUUGAAGGAGGCUUUGGCAAUUGCAGUUUAGGUCGAAACCACAAGAAAUUGAGGUUUAGUUUCAAAUUAUUUGGUUUGUAGAACUUUUAGUUUGCAUGAUAGUUAUUCCUUAAAAUGUAUCUUUUUGGCAUUGUUUAGUGUGUAUUUCUUUUUGUAUAAAUCAAGAAAUUUGUGAAUCUAUACUUUCUUCAUUAA